rnacentral:rRNA from 1 species
GGGUUGUGAGGUUAAGCGACUAAGCGUACACGGUGGAUGCCCUGGCAGUCAGAGGCGAUGAAGGACGUGCUAAUCUGCGAUAAGCGUCGGUGAGGUGAUAUGAACCGUUAUAACCGGCGAUUUCCGAAUGGGGAAACCCAGUGUGUUUCGACACACUAUCAUUAACUGAAUCCAUAGGUUAAUGAGGCGAACCGGGGGAACUGAAACAUCUAAGUACCCCGAGGAAAAGAAAUCAACCGAGAUUCCCCCAGUAGCGGCGAGCGAACGGGGAGGAGCCCAGAGCCUGAAUCAGUGUGUGUGUUAGUGGAAGCGUCUGGAAAGGCGUGCGAUACAGGGUGACAGCCCCGUACACAAAAAUGCACAUAUUGUGAGCUCGAUGAGUAGGGCGGGACACGUGGUAUCCUGUCUGAAUAUGGGGGGACCAUCCUCCAAGGCUAAAUACUCCUGACUGACCGAUAGUGAACCAGUACCGUGAGGGAAAGGCGAAAAGAACCCCGGCGAGGGGAGUGAAAAAGAACCUGAAACCGUGUACGUACAAGCAGUGGGAGCCUCUUAAUGGGGUGACUGCGUACCUUUUGUAUAAUGGGUCAGCGACUUAUAUUCUGUAGCAAGGUUAACCGAAUAGGGGAGCCGAAGGGAAACCGAGUCUUAACUGGGCGUUAAGUUGCAGGGUAUAGACCCGAAACCCGGUGAUCUAGCCAUGGGCAGGUUGAAGGUUGGGUAACACUAACUGGAGGACCGAACCGACUAAUGUUGAAAAAUUAGCGGAUGACUUGUGGCUGGGGGUGAAAGGCCAAUCAAACCGGGAGAUAGCUGGUUCUCCCCGAAAGCUAUUUAGGUAGCGCCUCGUGAAUUCAUCUCCGGGGGUAGAGCACUGUUUCGGCAAGGGGGUCAUCCCGACUUACCAACCCGAUGCAAACUGCGAAUACCGGAGAAUGUUAUCACGGGAGACACACGGCGGGUGCUAACGUCCGUCGUGAAGAGGGAAACAACCCAGACCGCCAGCUAAGGUCCCAAAGUCAUGGUUAAGUGGGAAACGAUGUGGGAAGGCCCAGACAGCCAGGAUGUUGGCUUAGAAGCAGCCAUCAUUUAAAGAAAGCGUAAUAGCUCACUGGUCGAGUCGGCCUGCGCGGAAGAUGUAACGGGGCUAAACCAUGCACCGAAGCUGCGGCAGCGACACUAUGUGUUGUUGGGUAGGGGAGCGUUCUGUAAGCCUGUGAAGGUGGCCUGUGAGGGUUGCUGGAGGUAUCAGAAGUGCGAAUGCUGACAUAAGUAACGAUAAAGCGGGUGAAAAGCCCGCUCGCCGGAAGACCAAGGGUUCCUGUCCAACGUUAAUCGGGGCAGGGUGAGUCGACCCCUAAGGCGAGGCCGAAAGGCGUAGUCGAUGGGAAACAGGUUAAUAUUCCUGUACUUGGUGUUACUGCGAAGGGGGGACGGAGAAGGCUA